CCGAUCGGCAGAGCGAGCAUAUGAUCGCGAAGGCCCAUAACCAUCUCAGGGUCGAGUGAGUAAAUCAGGCAGGUGUGUGGUGAAGGGGGUCGGG
rfam:Rhodnius prolixus Rhodnius_prolixus-3.0.3-2618.1, whole genome shotgun sequence.